rnacentral:rRNA from 1 species
UACGUAGGGGGCAAGCGUUGUCCGGAUUUAUUGGGCGUAAAGAGCGUGUAGGCGGCCUGACAGGUCUGCUGUGAAAACUCGAGGCUCAACCUCGAGAUGUCGGCGGAAACCGUCUGGCUAGAGUCCGGAAGAGGAGAGUGGAAUUCCUGGUGUAGCGGUGAAAUGCGCAGAUAUCAGGAGGAACACCGGUGGCGAAGGCGGCAUCCUGGACCAACACUGACGCUGAGUGAGCGAAAGCCAGGGGAGCAAACGGG